GCCGACAUAGCAUAAUUGGUAGUGCAACAGCCUACGAAGCUGUGAGGUCUGGAUUCGAGUUCCAGUGUCGGCUC
rnacentral:tRNA from 1 species